AGAGUGAACGCUGGCGGCAGGCCUAACACAUGCAAGUCGAACGGCAGCACAGGGGAGCUUGCUCCCUGGGUGGCGAGUGGCGGACGGGUGAGGAAAACGUCGGAAUCUGCCUAUUUGUGGGGGAUAACGUAGGGAAACUUACGCUAAUACCGCAUACGACCUACGGGUGAAAGCGGAGGACCUUCGGGCUUCGCGCAGAUAGAUGAGCCGACGUCGGAUUAGCUAGUUGGCGGGUAAAGCCCACAAGGCGACGAUCCGUAGCUGGUCUGAGAGGAUGAUCAGCCACACUGGAACUGAGACACGGUCCAGACUCCUACGGGAGCAGCAGUGGGAAUAUUGGACAACGGGCGCAAGCCUGAUCCAGCCAUGCCGCGUGUGUGAAGAAGGCCUUGGUUGUAAAGCUACGUUUUGGUGGGAAGAAAGCCAGUUGUUAACUACCGGUGU
rnacentral:rRNA from 1 species